GCCAGCUUGCUGGUGGAUUAGUGGCGAACGGGUGAGUAACACGUGAGUAACCUGCCCUUGACUCUGGGAUAAGCCUGGGAAACUGGGUCUAAUACCGGAUAUGACCUUCCAUCGCAUGGUGGUUGGUGGAAAGCUUUUGUGGUUUUGGAUGGACUCGCGGCCUAUCAGCUUGUUGGUGGGGUAAUGGCCUACCAAGGCGACGACGGGUAGCCGGCCUGAGAGGGUGACCGGCCACACUGGGACUGAGACACGGCCCAGACUCCUACGGGAGGCAGCAGUGGGGAAUAUUGCACAAUGGGCGCAAGCCUGAUGCAGCGACGCCGCGUGAGGGAUGACGGCCUUCGGGUUGUAAACCUCUUUCAGUAGGGAAGAAGCCGCAAGGUGACGGUACCUGCAGAAGAAGCGCCGGCUAACUACGUGCCAGCAGCCGCGGUAAUACGUAGGGCGCAAGCGUUAUCCGGAAUUAUUGGGCGUAAAGAGCUCGUAGGCGGUUUGUCGCGUCUGCCGUGAAAGUCCGGGGCUCAACUCCGGAUCUGCGGUGGGUACGGGCAGACUAGAGUGAUGUAGGGGAGACUGGAAUUCCUGGUGUAGCGGUGAAAUGCGCAGAUAUCAGGAGGAACACCGAUGGCGAAGGCAGGUCUCUGGGCAUUAACUGACGCUGAGGAGCGAAAGCAUGGGGAGCGAACAGGAUUAGAUACCCUGGUAGUCCAUGCCGUAAACGUUGGGCACUAGGUGUGGGGGACAUUCCACGUUUUCCGCGCCGUAGCUAACGCAUUAAGUGCCCCGCCUGGGGAGUACGGCCGCAAGGCUAAAACUCAAAGGAAUUGACGGGGGCCCGCACAAGCGGCGGAGCAUGCGGAUUAAUUCGAUGCAACGCGAAGAACCUUACCAAGGCUUGACAUGAACCGGACCGCUGCAGAAAUGUGGUUUCCCCUUUGGGGCUGGUUUACAGGUGGUGCAUGGUUGUCGUCAGCUCGUGUCGUGAGAUGUUGGGUUAAGUCCCGCAACGAGCGCAACCCUCGUUCUAUGUUGCCAGCACGUGAUGGUGGGGACUCAUAGGAGACUGCCGGGGUCAACUCGGAGGAAGGUGGGGACGACGUCAAAUCAUCAUGCCCCUUAUGUCUUGGGCUUCACGCAUGCUACAAUGGCCGGUACAAAGGGUUGCGAUACUGUGAGGUGGAGCUAAUCCCAAAAAGCCGGUCUCAGUUCGGAUUGGGGUCUGCAACUCGACCCCAUGAAGUCGGAGUCGCUAGUAAUCGCAGAUCAGCAACGCUGCGGUGAAUACGUUCCCGGGCCUUGUACACACCGCCCGUCAAGUCACGAAAGUUGGUAACACCCGAAGCCGGUGGCCUAACCCC
rnacentral:rRNA from 1 species